CCUACGGGAGGCAGCAGUGGGGAAUUUUGCACAAUGGGGGAAACCCUGAUGCAGCAACGCCGCGUGAGUGAAUAAGUAUUUCGGUAUGUAAAGCUCUAUCAGCAGGGGAGCAAAAGGACGAUACCUGACUAAGAGGCCCCGGCUAACUACGUGCCAGCAGCCGCGGUAAUGCGUGUGGGGCAAGCGUUAUGCGGAUUUACUGGGGGUAAAGGGAGCGUAGACUGGUUUGCAAGUCUGGAGUGAAAGCCAGUGGCUCAACCGCGGCACUGCUUUGGAAACUGUCGAGCUAGAGUACUGGAGAGGAAGGCGGAAUGCGUAGUGUAGCGGUGAAAUGCGUAGAUAUCAGGAGGAACACCAGUGGCGAAGGCGGCCUGCUGGACAGAAACUGACGCUGAGGCACGAAAGCGUGGGGAGCGAACAGGAUUAGAUACCCGAGUAGUC
rnacentral:rRNA from 1 species